rnacentral:rRNA from 1 species
GACGAACGCUGGCGGCGUGCCUAACACAUGCAAGUCGAGCGAAUGAAGUUCCUUCGGGAACGGAUUUAGCGGCGGACGGGUGAGUAACACGUGGGCAACCUGCCUCAUAGAGGGGAAUAGCCUUCCGAAAGGGAGAUUAAUACCGCAUAAGAUUGUAGUACCGCAUGGUACAGCAAUUAAAGGAGCAAUCCGCUAUGAGAUGGGCCCGCGGCGCAUUAGCUAGUUGGUGAGGUAACGGCUCACCAAGGCGACGAUGCGUAGCCGACCUGAGAGGGUGAUCGGCCACAUUGGGACUGAGACACGGCCCAGACUCCUACGGGAGGCAGCAGUGGGGAAUAUUGCACAAUGGGGGAAACCCUGAUGCAGCAACGCCGCGUGAGUGAUGACGGCCUUCGGGUUGUAAAGCUCUGUCUUCAGGGACGAUAAUGACGGUACCUGAGGAGGAAGCCACGGCUAACUACGU